UACCAGCACCCCGAGUGGUCGGGACGAUUAUUGGGCCUAAAGCAUCCGUAGCCGGUUUUACAAGUCCUCCGUUAAAUCCAACUGCUUAACAGGUGGGCCGCGGAGGAUACUAUAAGACUAGGAGGCAGGAGAGGCAAGCGGUACUCAGUGGGUAGGGGUAAAAUCCGUUGAUCCAUUGAAGACCACCAGUGGCGAAGGCGGCUUGCCAGAACGCACUCGACGGUGAGGGAUGAAAGCUGGGGGAGCAAACCGG
rnacentral:rRNA from 1 species